GACGAACGCUGGCGGCGUGCUUAACACAUGCAAGUCGAACGGAAAGGCCCUGCUUUUGUGGGGUGCUCGAGUGGCGAACGGGUGAGUAACACGUGAGUAACCUGCCCUUGACUUUGGGAUAACUUCAGGAAACUGGGGCUAAUACCGGAUAGGAGCUCCUGCUGCAUGGUGGGGGUUGGAAAGUUUCGGCGGUUGGGGAUGGACUCGCGGCUUAUCAGCUUGUUGGUGGGGUAGUGGCUUACCAAGGCUUUGACGGGUAGCCGGCCUGAGAGGGUGACCGGCCCCGUCGCGACUGGGAUACGGCCCAGACUCCAACGGGACGCAGCGGAGGAGAAUGGUGCACUAGGGGCGGAAGGCAGCUGUAGUAAAGCCGCGUGCGGGAUGUGGGCCAGCGGGUUGUAAUGCGAUUUCGUCUCUGCUGAAGAGUGAGUGACGGUAACGGGUGAAGAAGCCCCGGCUAACUCCGUG
rnacentral:rRNA from 1 species